CACACACUGGCCCAGUCAGCACAUCCACAGCGAUCCCAGGAGCACCGGAACAAUGUGGCAGGGUGUGAGAGGGUGCAACAGCAGGACUAUGAUGGACACGGAGGACCAGUGGACACAGGACUUGGCUAGCAACAACGUGAAGGCCAUCCUGCGCUGGAUAUGUAGCCUUUCAGCUGAAGUGGGAAAUGCUGAUGUGGAGGACAGCCUUGCUACUUUCAGCAGCUGGGUCCAGAGGACGGCUGAAGUUUCAAAGAAGGAGUUACUCACC